UGGCUUGUGGCGCAAUGGAUAACGCGUCUGACUACGGAUCAGAAGAUUCCAGGUUCAAAUCCUGGCAAGCUCG
rnacentral:tRNA from 1 species